UACGUAGGGGGCUAGCGUUGUCCGGAAUCAUUGGGCGUAAAGAGCGUGUAGGCGGCCCGGUAAGUCCGCUGUGAAAGUCGGGGGCUCAACCCUCGAAUGCCGGUGGAUACUGUCGGGCUAGAGUGCGGAAGAGGCGAGUGGAAUUCCUGGUGUAGCGGUGAAAUGCGCAGAUAUCAGGAGGAACACCGGUGGCGAAGGCGCCACUCUGGGCCGGUACUGACGCUGAGGAGCGAAAGCGUGGGUAGCAAACAGG
rnacentral:rRNA from 1 species